AGUGAGCGCUGGCGGUAGGCCUAACACAUGCAAGUCGAACGGCAGCACAGUAAGAGCUUGCUCUUACGGGUGGCGAGUGGCGGACGGGUGAGGAAUACAUCGGAAUCUACUUUUUCGUGGGGGAUAACGUAGGGAAACUUACGCUAAUACCGCAUACGACCUACGGGUGAAAGCAGGGGAUCUUCGGACCUUGCGCGAUUGAAUGAGCCGAUGUCGGAUUAGCUAGUUGGCGGGGUAAAGGCCCACCAAGGCGACGAUCCGUAGCUGGUCUGAGAGGAUGAUCAGCCACACUGGAACUGAGACACGGUCCAGACUCCUACGGGAGGCAGCAGUGGGGAAUAUUGGACAAUGGGCGCAAGCCUGAUCCAGCCAUACCGCGUGGGUGAAGAAGGCCUUCGGGUUGUAAAGCCCUUUUGUUGGGAAAGAAAAGCAGCAGGUUAAUACCCCGCUGUUCUGACGGUACCCAAAGAAUAAGCACUGGCUAACUUCGUG
rnacentral:rRNA from 1 species